AGUGGUAUUAGAGCGAGGUGAUAUCAGGACGUAGAUUGCGAUGGUGAUGAGCAAAAUUGAUGAUGGAGAAGACAUGAUCAAUCAAGAUGGAGAUCAACAGAUUUGAUAGAAAAAGCAAUUUCUUCUUAUGACAGGCAAUGGUGAAGGACUUGCUCAUCCAGCAAGGGUUUAUCGAUGCUCUCUUGUAUGAGGAGAAGCCGACCAUCAUGAAGGUGCA
rnacentral:lncRNA from 1 species